UACCCUUGACAUCCUCGGAAUCUGCCGGAGACGGCGGAGUGCCUUCGGGAGCCGAGUGACAGGUGCUGCAUGGCUGUCGUCAGCUCGUGUUGUGAAAUGUUGGGUUAAGUCCCGUAACGAGCGCAACCCCUGUCCCUAUUUGCCAGCGAUUCGGUCGGGAACUCUAGGGAGACUGCCGGUGACAAACCGGAGGAAGGUGGGGAUGACGUCCUUGCUAGGUAA
rnacentral:misc_RNA from 1 species